AAUACGGGGGGAGCAAGCGUUGUUCGGAUUUACUGGGCGUAAAGGGCGCGUAGGCGGCCACCGCAAGUCGACUGUGAAAUCUCCGGGCUUAACUCGGAAAGGUCAGCCGAUACUGCGGGGCUAGAGUGCAGAAGGGGCAACUGGAAUUCUCGGUGUAGCGGUGAAAUGCGUAGAUAUCGAGAGGAACACCUGCGGCGAAGGCGGGUUGCUGGGCUGACACUGACGCUGAGGCGCGAAAGCUAAGGGAGCGAACGGG
rnacentral:rRNA from 1 species